rnacentral:rRNA from 1 species
CCUACGGGAGGCAGCAGUGGGGAAUUUUGGACAAUGGGCGCAAGCCUGAUCCAGCCAUGCCGCGUGAGUGAAGAAGGCCUUCGGGUUGUAAAGCUCUUUCGGCAGGAACGAAAUGGUUCGUGCUAAUACCACGGACUGAUGACGGUACCUGAAGAAGAAGCACCGGCUAACUACGUGCCAGCAGCCGCGGUAAUACGUAGGGUGCAGGCGUUAAUCGGAAUUACUGGGCGUAAAGCGUGCGCAGGCGGUUUCUUAAGUCAGAUGUGAAAGCCCCGGGCUUAACCUGGGAACUGCGUUUGAAACUGGGAGACUUGAGUGUGGCAGAGGGGGUGGAAUUCCACGUGUAGCAGUGAAAUGCGUAGAUAUGUGGAGGAACACCGAUGGCGAAGGCAGCCCCCUGGGCUAACACUGACGCUCAUGCACGAAAGCGUGGGGAGCAAACAGGAUUAGAUACCCUGGUAGUCCACGCCCUAAACUAUGUCAACUGGUUGUCGGGAGAUUAACUCUCUUGGUAACGAAGCUAACGCGUGAAGUUGACCGCUGGGGAGACGCGCGAGUAAACGUAAAUAGAUAGAGNGNGNGAGNGCGAGACGACGACGAGGAGGAGG